CAGCAGCCGCGGGAACACGAAGGGGGCUAGCGUUGUUCGGAAUUACUGGGCGUAAAGCGCACGUAGGCGGAUAUUUAAGUCAGGGGUGAAAUCCCGCAGCUCAACUGCGGAACUGCCUUUGAUACUGGGUAUCUUGAGUAUGGAAGAGGUUAGUGGAAUUGCGAGUGUAGAGGUGAAAUUCGUAGAUAUUCGCAGGAACACCAGUGGCGAAGGCGGCUAACUGGUCCAUAACUGACGCUGAGGUGCGAAAGCGUGGGGAGCAAACAGGAUUAGAUACCCCCGUAGUCCCUGUCUCUUAUAC
rnacentral:rRNA from 1 species